GGAAGUAAAAAGUCGUAACAAGGUUUCCGUAGGUGAACCUGCGGAAGGAUCAUUAUUGUAUAACCGAGGUGCGAGGGCUGUCGCUGACCCGAAAGGUCGUGCACGCCCGAGUGCCCUCACACACAUCCAUCUCACCCCUAUGUGCACCACCGCGUGGGUCCCCCUUUGGCUUGUUCGGAGGGGGGCUUACGUUUUCACACAAACCUUGUAUGCAGUGUAGAAUGUAUUUUUUGUUUUUGCGAUCACGCAAUCAAUACAACUUUCAACAACGGAUCUCUUGGCUCUC
rnacentral:misc_RNA from 1 species